UAGUCGUGAUGUGGGCAUUUUCUUACCAACUCUCUAUACCUUCCCUAUGCCUUAUACAAGGAUUCACUAUCGCUAUGUACAAAGGAUGUUAUAUCAUUUCUCAUCUU